AACGGCGAGUGAAGCGGCAAGAGCUCAAAUUUGAAAUCUGGCCUCCCCCGGGGCCCGAGUUGUAAUUUGCAGAGGAUGUUUCGGGUGCGGCCGCCGUCUAAGUUCCUUGGAACAGGACGUCAGAGAGGGUGAGAAUCCCGUCUUGGGCGGGCGGUCCGCGCCCGUGUGAAGCUCCUUCGACGAGUCGAGUUGUUUGGGAAUGCAGCUCUAAGCGGGUGGUAAAUUUCAUCUAAAGCUAAAUAUUGGCCGGAGACCGAUAGCGCACAAGUAGAGUGAUCGAAAGGUUAAAAGCACCUUGAAAAGGGAGUUAAACAGCACGUGAAAUUGUUGAAAGGGAAGCGCUUGCGGCCAGACUCGGGGGCGGGGUUCAGCGGGUGCUCGUCGCCCGUGUAUUCCUCGUUUCCCGGGCCAGCAUCAGUUUCGACGGCCGGUCAAAGGCCCCCGGAAUGUGUCGUCUCUCGGGACGUCUUAUAGCCGGGGGUGCAAUGCGGCCCGUCGGGACUGAGGAACGCGCUCCGGCUCGGAUGCUGGCGUAAUGGCCGUAAGCGGCCCGUCUUGAAACACGGACCAAGGAGUCUAACAUCCACGCGAGUGUUCGGGUGUCAAACCCGUGCGCGCAGUGAAAGCGAACGGAGGUGGGAGCCCUAGGGCGCACCAUCGACCGAUCCUGAAGUCUUCGGAUGGAUUUGAGUAGGAGCGUGGCCGUUGGGACCCGAAAGAUGGUGAACUAUGCCUGAAUAGGGUGAAGCCAGAGGAAACUCUGGUGGAGGCUCGCAGCGGUUCUGACGUGCAAAUCGAUCGUC
rnacentral:rRNA from 1 species